AUGGAACAAUGUAGGCAAGGGAAGUCGGCAAAACGGAUCCGUAACUUCGGGAAAAGGAUUGGCUCUGAGGACUGGGCUCGGGGGUCCCGGCCCCGAACCCGUCGGCUGUCGGCGGAUUGCUCGAGCUGCUCACGCGGCGAGAGCGGGUCGCCGCGUGCAAGCCGGGGGACGGACCGGGAAUCGCCCCUUCGGGGGCUUUCCCCGAGCAUGAAACAGUCGACUCAGAACUGGUACGGACAAGGGGAAUCCGACUGUUUAAUUAAAACAAAGCAUUGCGAUGGUCCUCACGGAUGCUGA
rnacentral:rRNA from 1 species